AGCACCACUCUUACCUGCUGUGUUGGACCCACACCAGUGCCUCACAUCACAAAGUGCUUCUGGAGACAGACAGGACAUGGGCUUGUACAGAUUCAGAAUAUUUUGAGCAAUUGAAUCCACUUUGGCUUUAGAUAAAGAGAAUUAUAUGUGACACAAUGAGAUACAGAUUUCAACACUGUGUGGCUCUGCACUGGGAUCUCCAGGAAAUCUGGUAUGAUAUCAUCCUAGAAGCACAGCUUCAGCAGCCACUGUCUAUCUUUUGGAUGAGACCAGUCAAGAAUUUUAAAUUAGAGUGCUUUUCUCACUCUGACCUCGCCCUGGCACGGUGCUGCCAAAUGCCUUUGGGGAGGUUUGCCUGGAAGCCUUAAGUCUCUUUCGGAUUUCUAUUCAUUUUGCAAAUCAUGUUUGUAAUUGGGAAACAAAACCAAAGCAACGAAAACAACGUUGAAGCUUGAAGGGGGGUUUGUGAGGCACCACUUGGCAAUGGCAGCAGAUGAAACCCUUGUAAGGACAGACAUUGGACUUUGUACAUCGAGCCAAGUCCUGAUCCUCACUCUGAGAGUAUUAAUAUUCAUUGGA